GGGUGCGAUCAUACCAGCACUAAUGCACCGGAUCCCAUCAGAACUCUGCAGUUAAGCGCGCUUGGGCGAGAGUAGUACUAGGAUGGGUGACCUCCUGGGAAGUCCUCGUGUUGCACCCC
rnacentral:rRNA from 1 species